rnacentral:rRNA from 1 species
UACGUAGGGUGCAAGCGUUGUCCGGAAUUAUUGGGCGUAAAGAGCUCGUAGGCGGUUUGUUGCGUCGGCUGUGAAACCCCGAGGCUCAACCUCGGGUCUGCAGUCGAUACGAGCAAACUAGAGUGUUGCAGGGGAGACUGGAAUUCCUGGUGUAGCGGUGAAAUGCGCAGAUAUCAGGAGGAACACCGGUGGCGAAGGCGGGUCUCUGGGCAACAACUGACGCUGAGGAGCGAAAGCGUGGGGAGCGAACAGG